AGAGUUUGAUCCUGGCUCAGGAUGAACGCUGGCGGCGUGCCUAAUACAUGCAAGUCGAGCGAACGGACGAGAAGCUUGCUUCUCUGAUGUUAGCGGCGGACGGGUGAGUAACACGUGGAUAACCUACCUAUAAGACUGGGAUAACUUCGGGAAACCGGAGCUAAUACCGGAUAAUAUUUUGAACCGCAUGGUUCAAAAGUGAAAGACGGUCUUGCUGUCACUUAUAGAUGGAUCCGCGCUGCAUUAGCUAGUUGGUAAGGUAACGGCUUACCAAGGCAACGAUGCAUAGCCGACCUGAGAGGGUGAUCGGCCACACUGGAACUGAGACACGGUCCAGACUCCUACGGGAGGCAGCAGUAGGGAAUCUUCCGCAAUGGGCGAAAGCCUGACGGAGCAACGCCGCGUGAGUGAUGAAGGUCUUCGGAUCGUAAAACUCUGUUAUUAGGGAAGAACAUAUGUGUAAGUAACUGUGCACAUCUUGACGGUACCUAAUCAGAAAGCCACGGCUAACUACGUGCCAGCAGCCGCGGUAAUACGUAGGUGGCAAGCGUUAUCCGGAAUUAUUGGGCGUAAAGCGCGCGUAGGCGGUUUUUUAAGUCUGAUGUGAAAGCCCACGGCUCAACCGUGGAGGGUCAUUGGAAACUGGAAAACUUGAGUGCAGAAGAGGAAAGUGGAAUUCCAUGUGUAGCGGUGAAAUGCGCAGAGAUAUGGAGGAACACCAGUGGCGAAGGCGACUUUCUGGUCUGUAACUGACGCUGAUGUGCGAAAGCGUGGGGAUCAAACAGGAUUAGAUACCCUGGUAGUCCACGCCGUAAACGAUGAGUGCUAAGUGUUAGGGGGUUUCCGCCCCUUAGUGCUGCAGCUAACGCAUUAAGCACUCCGCCUGGGGAGUACGACCGCAAGGUUGAAACUCAAAGGAAUUGACGGGGACCCGCACAAGCGGUGGAGCAUGUGGUUUAAUUCGAAGCAACGCGAAGAACCUUACCAAAUCUUGACAUCCUUUGACAACUCUAGAGAUAGAGCCUUCCCCUUCGGGGGACAAAGUGACAGGUGGUGCAUGGUUUCGUCAGCUCGUGUCGUGAGAUGUUGGGUUAAGUCCCGCAACGAGCGCAACCCUUAAGCUUAGUUGCCAUCAUUAAGUUGGGCACUCUAAGUUGACUGCCGGUGACAAACCGGAGGAAGGUGGGGAUGACGUCAAAUCAUCAUGCCCCUUAUGAUUUGGGCUACACACGUGCUACAAUGGACAAUACAAAGGGCAGCGAAACCGCGAGGUCAAGCAAAUCCCAUAAAGUUGUUCUCAGUUCGGAUUGUAGUCUGCAACUCGACUACAUGAAGCUGGAAUCGCUAGUAAUCGUAGAUCAGCAUGCUACGGUGAAUACGUUCCCGGGUCUUGUACACACCGCCCGUCACACCACGAGAGUUUGUAACACCCGAAGCCGGUGGAGUAACCUUUUAGGAGCUAGCCGUCGAAGGUGGGACAAAUGAUUGGGGUGAAGUCGUAACAAGGUAGCCGUAUCGGAAGGUGCGGCUGGAUCACCU
rnacentral:rRNA from 1 species